GCCUCCCAUGGUGUGAGCUGGCCAAAGCAGCUAGCGCAUGAGCAGAAACGAACCUAUUUUUCAAAGGCUCGAUCUUGCUGCUUUGUUUUGUUUUCUGGACUGAACAUCUUCGCCAUCUGUCCCGAGAAUUUAACAGUUCUCUCUCCACUCAGACAAGGGGCUAAAUGUUGAUGAUGAGGCGAUGGUGGCACCGUGGCGGCCUGGGCCAAGGUGUGCCCCCUGAGGAACUACACGCCAUGCAACAGAUCCUGUAUGAAGUUUUCAUCCUCUGCAUGCUCUCUGUGCACCGAGAGGCUGACCUUUAUGCAUGAAGCCACCCGGUUCUGCUUCUAGAAACUUCCUUGGCCUUUCUUUUUAAUGCUCAAGAGAUGCCUACGGUCUUCACUCCAGCACAAAGACAACUGAUUCAUAGGGACCAUUGAGACAUUGCUCACCUGAGCAAGAAGCUGGUGGGAACAUCAUUAAGUCUUAAAAUACUUAGUUUUUAAGUAUUUUAAGACUUAGUUCCUUUAAAAUGCAUGUAUGUUCUUCCUUCAGAAGAUCUUUGUUGAUUUUCUUGAGAGUCAAAUUUAUUAUUUUUAUCCCCUUCAUCUCCUCCCAGGCUGAGGGAGGGAAGAUGGGACUGGGAGGGGAGGUAGUAUAGGCUAACAACCAGGGUGUAAAGUGAGUAAAAAAUAAAUAUUUUUUAAAAAUUUUUGUUAUUUUUAAACAUCAGUUUUAAAGCAUUUCUUAAACACUGUGGUGCUAGCCAUACUAGCUGUUGCAGUCCAAA